GGUGUUUGGACGUUAUUACCGGGUUGGGCGGGCCCGGUCUGGGAGGGGUUUGUGGGUGAGCCCUGGGUCCCCCGCCCGCUGAGGAGAUGGAUGAGGACGGGCUUCCUCUCAUGGGGUCAGGCAUAGACCUGACCAAGGUGCCAGCUAUUCAACAGAAGAGAACGGUGGCAUUUCUAAACCAGUUUGUGGUGCACACUGUACAGUUCCUCAACCGCUUUUCUACAGUUUGUGAGGAGAAACUGGCAGACCUUUCUCUUCGUAUCCAGCAAAUUGAAACAACUCUCAAUAUUUUAGAUGCAAAGUUGUCAUCUAUCCCAGGCCUAGAUGAAGUCACAUUUGAAGUAUCUCCUGUAAGCGUCACUGGUAUCACAAAAGAAUCACAUUCUGAAACCACUUCAGAGAAAUCACAGCAGAACAGUUUACAAGACUCUGGACCACAGGAAAGUGAAGUAACACCAGAAAAUAUCUUAACUGUAGCCAAGGAUCCAAGAUAUGCCAGAUAUCUCAAAAUGGUUCAAGUGGGUGUUCCAGUGAUGGCAAUAAGAAACAAAAUGAUAUCGGAAGGACUAGACCCAGAUCUUCUUGAGGGAAGAAGUGCUUAAUGACUGGCCAACCCUGGAUUAUGUGACGGAAACAAGGAAGGGUAUGGGGAAAGAAUGGGGGCAGGAGGAAUUGUGGUUGGCAUCCUUAUUUGAUUCACAAAAAUGGGAGAAGGAGGCCAGAUGCUCCAGUGCCUGAUGGUGAAAGUGAAAAAAAUACAGAAGAAAGUUCAGACAGUGAAUCUUCUUUUAGUGACUAAGCUUAAUUUUGAUAACAGUUACAUAUACAUGUGUAGGUAUACAUUUACAUUCUAUAAGAAAGAGAACCUGAACUUGAACUCUUAGUCAUAAAAACAUCAGAUGGCCAUAUAUCCACCACCAAACUUCCUCUAUGUUAAAAAAAUAAAUAAAAUAAAACUUUUAUAACCUGGCA